GACGAACGCUGGCGGCGUGCUUAACACAUGCAAGUCGAGCGGUAAGGCCCUUUCGGGGGUACACGAGCGGCGAACGGGUGAGUAACACGUGGGUGACCUGCCCUCAGCUCUGGGAUAAGCCUGGGAAACCGGGUCUAAUACUGGAUAUGACUCCAUGACGCAUGUUGUGGGGUGGAAAGCCUUGUGCGGCUGAGGAUGGGCCCGCGGCCUAUCAGCUUGUUGGUGGGGUGANGGCCUACCAAGGCGACGACGGGUAGCCGGCCCGAGAGGGCGACCGGCCACACUGGGACUGAGACACGGCCCAGACUCCUACGGGAGGCAGCAGUGGGGAAUCUUGCGCAAAUGGGACGAAAGCCUGACGCAGCGACGCCGCGUGAGGGAUGACGGCCUCGU
rnacentral:rRNA from 1 species